GUGCCCUAGAACUUUGGAAUUAUCCCUCAUUUCUUAGAGAUUUGGUACCACAUAACGUAAAUGGCACAGAAAGAUGUGAUCAUGUGGAUUUAGCUGCACUUGAAAGUAUGAUAUACUAACCACAAUACUUUCUAUUUUAAGAACAUUUUUAUUAUAUUUUAUGUAAGUUAUUACAUGGAAUUAAGAUUGUAACUUGAUGUAAUAAAUAAUGCAGUUUACAGGGAUAGAGAGAGGAAUGUACCUAGAUAUAACCAACUAAGGAGAGGACUACUAAUGAUACCUAUUUCAAAAUGGGAAGAUUUGACAGAUGAUAAAGAAGUAAUUAAAGUAUUGGAAGAGGUAUAUGGAGAUGAUAUUGAGGAGCUUGAUGUACAAGUAGGUCUAAUGGCAGAGAAGAAGAUAAAGGGUUUUGCAAUAAGUGAAACAGCUUUUACAAUAUUUCUUCUCAUGGCAUCUAGGUAAAAAAUAAAUUACAAUUAUUUUAUUUUAUUGAUGUUUUUACCUUCAUAAUAUUAAAAGUAUUGAAUUAUUACACACAUAAGGUUGAAAAACUAUAUAAAUAUCUAAUCAUAACUCAUGUUGAUAUUUGUGUGGACAUUUUUUAUGUUGUUAACUUGUCGUAGGAGUUUGCCCUUAUAAUCUUAAACGACAAAUGUUAAAGUAAAUUCUCUUGUAGACAAUUGUAAAAUGAUUAUUCCUUCAAAAAAAAAUUGUAAAAUGAUUAUUAUAAACCUGUUUUUUUUGAACAAGUCAAAAUGAAAUAUUAGGAAUUUGAAAAAAGGGUUAAGACUUUAUAUUCUCAAUCAGUUUAUAGCUAUUAAACUCAUCUCUUGACAUGUCAAAAUAGAAAAAAACAUAAUAAUAUUUUUAUAUGUAUGAAAAUUAUUUAUUUGAUUGAACUUUAAUGCACUUUGUAGGAGGCUAGAAGGUGAUAGAUUUUUCACAAGCUACUACAAUGAGGAGACAUACACCAAAAAGGGGUUAGAAUGGGUCAACACAACUGAGAGCUUAAAAGAUGUGAUUGAUCGUCACCAUCCACAAAUGACAAACAAAUGGAUGAACUCUUCCAGUGCUUUCUCUGUUUGGGACUCACCCUCAAUCAAACACAAUCCUAUUCCAUGUUACUUACGUAUUCCUAAUUGAUCACAAUAUUUUGUAAUUUGUAUUAAUGAGUGAGUGUUUUUGCUUUUCUUUUAAAUAAUUCACACUUGAUCAGUGUACAUGCCUUUAUGCAUGAGCCGGAUUAGUCGCCCAUCUUUGUAUCUCAUAUUGUUCUUCUCUUAAGUAUUUUAAUUAUUUUCUGCUCAAGAUUUGUCCUUUUCUUGAACAGCAUCAAUUGAUUUUUUUAUAAGGAGAUUUUGAAUAUGUCUGUUGUUGAGAGAAUCUUGUCUUAAUUGGUUGACUGUUGCUUGUAGCUGUAAUCUGUAAGGUAUAUUUGAUGCUUGAUCAAAUCUUCCCUUAAAUGAAAUGGAGGGACAUUAAUGUAUCUAUAUACUUACUUUAUACUAUUUGUUAAAAUUGAUAUCAUAUAAAUUUUCAAUUUUGCCCCUAAGAGGGGCAAUUUGGUAAUUCUAAAAUUCCUUAUCCUUGGAGAGUGCCAACUCAUCCAAACUUUAUAUUUUAUAUUUUAUAUUUUAUUUUAUAUUAUUUUAUUUUAUAUUUUAUAUUUAUUUUAUAAGAUUAAAAAUAUCUUAAAUUCAGUUGCUUCUACAUUGUCGUUGUGGGAGAUUAAGGUAUCGUUUGACCCGACUUUUUUUCAACUUCUCUACAUUUUUUAGAAGAAGUUAGGUCUAUGAAGCCCGCAUACCCCAAAUUGGAGACGUACCCGUACUGGAUACGUAUCAGAUUCUAAUACUCCGCGGAUACUCUUGGAUACGUAUGCACGGAGUAUCGGAAUUAAUUAUUUUAAUUUAAAAUAUAUAUUUUAUCGGAUACUUAAUCGACAAAUACACACGGGUACUUAUACAUUUUAUAUUUUGAUUACAUGUAUUAUUUUUUGUAAAUUGCGACUUUUAUAAUUAUAUAGUAUUGAAGAGUAAUCAAUGUUUUUCUAAGUAUUUUACAUGCAUAUAAAUUUUAGUAUAAAUAAUUUGUUAACGUAUCUUAACUAUAUCGUAUCCUAAUUUUAAAAAUUUCGCGUAUUCGCGUACCCGUAUCUGUACUACGUAUCAGUGCUUCACAGGGUCAAACACAAUAUCAAUUAAGUACUUACUAAAAAAAUACUUUUUUUGAAUGCAUAAAAUUGAAUGGAAUGAGCUUUGGCCAAAAGUUGUUGAAUGUUACUUUAUAAAACUACUUCUUGACAAUUUAUUUCACAAACACCUCUUUUCAACUUACGUUGGGAACCUUUUCUUUUAUUUUUAAUAUUAUAUUUCAAUAUGUUUUUUCUUCCAUUUAACUUAAUUUUAUUUAAUUUUUUGAACCAAUCCAUCUAAUUUUUUAAGGAGGUUCCAUUUAAUUUUAUUAUCUUUUUUUCAAAGGAAUUUAAUUUUUUUUUUUAUCACUUAUAUAUUUAAUUUCAAUAUCGUUUAGUCAUCACAACCUCACAAAUAUUUUUAUUCACGCUGUGAUUUAAUGAUACCAAAUAUUUUUAUUUUCUUUCUUCAACCUCGCGAAUACACACACAUAUUAACAUUUAGAGUAAUAUUUUAUGUCCAUUGGUAUGUUUUUUUGUUACGCUAAUGCAUAUAAUUUUAUUUUAGUGUUGCUUGGUUGAGUGAUACCUCACCGAUUUUUUUUAACUAUUUUCCAAUUUUUAUAUUUUUAAAUUUUUUUAACUAUUUUCCAAUUUAUUUUUAUUUUUAACUAUUUUCCAAUUUCUUCUCCCAAUUUCAGUUGCUUCUACACUGCUGUUGUGGGAGAUUAAAAUAUCGAUUUACCCGGAUUUUUUUUCCAACUUCUCUACAUUUUUAAGGAGAAGUUAAGUCAAAUACAAUAUCAAUUAAGUACUUACUAAAAAAAACACUUUUUUUAAUACAUAAAAUUGAAUGGAAUGAGCUUUGGCCAAAAGUUGUUGAAUGCUAUUUCAAAUAACUACUUCUCGACAAUUUAUUUCACAAGCAUCUCUCUUCAAUUCACGCUGGGAACAUUUUCUUUUAUUUUUUAAUAUUAUAUUUCAAUAUGUUUUUUUCUUCCAUUUAAUUUUUUUGAACUGUUCCAUUUAAUUUUUUUUAAGGAGGUUCCACUUAAUUUUUUUACCUUUUCUUCAAAGGAAUUUUAUUAUUUUUUUAUCAUUUAUAUAUUUAGUUUCAAUAUUGUUUAAUGAUCACAACCUCACAAAUAUUUUUAUUUACGCUGUCAUUUAAUGAUACCAAAUAUUUUUAUUUUCUUUCUUCAACCUUGCUAAUAUACACACACACGCAUUAUCGUUUAGAGUAAUGUUUUAUGUGUGUCUGUUUUUUUGUUACGUUAAUGCGUGUAAUUUUUUUUGGCGUUGCAUAAUGCGUAUGUUUAUUUUUAUAAAAAUUUGGUUUUAAUUAAAAGUAAAAUUGUAGAUGUCUUUUUUUCAAAAAAAGGUAUAGGUACCUAAAAAACUAUGCUUAAUUUAUUUCUUAUUCAUAAAAACUAAACAUAUUUGUUUCCAUGACACCAGCAAUGUAACAAAUAUAAUAUAAAUUCUUAUAUUUUUGAAAGAGACCGAAAAUAUGGUAUUCUUAUAACGAAAUUUGUUAUAGAGUAUAAUUGAAAUAAAAAAACCAACUAUUUUGAUAUUAUUUAUGUUAUUAUUUCAGACACCUUAAAUUGUUUCUCCUAUUCAAAUAUUUUUUUUUUGAGAAACCUAUUCAAAUAUUUAACAAGUCAUUUAUAUGAUGAUACAAAUUUGUAUUCAUGUUACACAAAAUAAACGUUAUUGAGUAAAUAUAGUAUUUGUAAAAAAAAGUAUCUUUUUUUUUUAACAUUUUUGGCCUUCAGAAAAUAUUUUAAAUAUUUUUAUUUAUUUAUUAUGUUAAUUCAUAAUAAAUUCAAAGUUUUGUCCUCGUGAGCUUUUGAUAGGAACAAUGCAUAAAUAAAUCUUACUUUGUUAUGUGGAGUAUAGUAGACAUCAUGAUGAUUGAAUUUUAGCUUGUGGUAAGGUUUUGACACAAUUGUUAUUUUAGCUUCUGGUACUGUAGUUGAAAAAAAUUGAUGCAUGCGGGUUAUUUUAUUUUUUGUGAGUAAUCCUAAAGUUGUAACAGUUUUCAUAUUUGAUUUAUUAUUUCCUAUAUCAUUGAGCAGUACGAAAGUUGAUUGGUAAUGUCAAAUGAUGCUAGCUAUAGAUGCCCAUGCAGGAGCGAUGUUUAAUUUCCGUUUGCUUCAACAAUGUUAAUUAGCCAACGGGGUACAUAUAAUCCACAUGCAUGCAUUUAUCUAGACUUUAUAGGAAGCUAAUAGGAAGAUAAAUUAGAAGUCAUGAUACAUUUUCUUUAGCUUAUGCUACCUUUAUUUUAUAAAUUAUAUGUAACUAUAUUCACAUACAUCUUAUCCAUGUUAAUAUGCAUUAGACUAAUAUUGCAGUUAUUUCUCUGUUUAGCAUUUUCCAAACGAGGUGUCAAGAACAAUUCUGAAAGAAAAGUGCAAAACAAUCACUCUCAUUGGUGACAAGACACAAAGAAAGUAUAAGUGUCGCCUCAUUACCUCCGAAAGAGCAAGCUAUGAAAAAUAUUUGGGUGGGCAGUGGUUCAAUUUCAGCAGAGAACAUGUGAUAGAAGAAGGUGGUAAGCUCAUCUCGAAAAGUCAUCGAAGAACUUGCACGUUCGAGUUGUUCAAAAGUAGAUCUUUAUUGUUGAACUAUUUGAACUUCUACUAUUUGCACGUUCAUGUUUGGUUAGUCUAUGACACUUGCGGUCUCUUUUAUAAAUCUAACUAUUAUGUAAUGUUAAUAUGCACAUUGUUGUUUCCUUCAUUGGUUCUAAUUAGUAUCAUGCUAAUUAUAAUGUUGUUUUCCUAAUCUCUUAAACAAAAUGAGAUUUGUGCAAUAUGCUUGCUUGAUUUUCACAUUUAUGAACGACAACAAUUUCUUAGAAAGAUGUAGUUAUUUUCCUUAAUUUGCUCAUUUCUUCUUUAUAACAAAGUUUUUUUAAAAAUAUAGUAACAGUGAUUUAUUUAGAAUAUCCGAGUUUGUGCAAUAUUCAUUAAUUUGCUCAUUUUUUCUUUGGAACAAAUUUUUUACAAGAUACGAUAUUCAACCCGUGCGAAGCACGGGUUUGUAACUAGUUAAUGGGAAAAAAAUGCACAUAUUCCUAAUUGUAAUGUGAAACUACUUUGAAUUAUUAUAAAGUUAGUUAUAAGCAACUAUAACAAUAUAAAAUAUCCUAAAAUAAAUCACUUUUUCUUUGCAAGUUAUGAUAUCUAUCUAUAUUUCAAAAGCUCAAACAAACAGGUUUGAGAAAUAUUGUCUCAUUCAAUAACGAAAAAAUGAAACCCUAAUUAUCUCACCAUAAUUUCCCCAAAAAUGUUUGGAAAAAAUACUCGGGUCAUGAGCCUUGUCCACAUCCAUUUCUUUCAAAGCUAGCUAGCAUAAACUCGUCUCUGAUAAACGGCAGAAUCGACUAUGGAUUUUUUUAAUGAAAAAUAUUAGCCGUUAGUUGUUAAAUUAAUAUUUAUUUUUAUGUCCUUCAACUUAUUUUUUCUUAACUCAAAUUAGUUGAGCUACUCCAAAUCUAAAUUAUCUUUUGAUAAAAUACAAGGCAUCGUUGUACUUCAAGUAGGUUCGUACACAACUUCAAUCUAAAAUAGGCUUUCAUAAUAUUCACCGGCAACAUCACAAGUCUAGGACAUCCUCUACCAUAUCUCCUCUCUCGUUUUGGAUCUUCACAAUUUUACCCUCUUUCUUGCAUUUAGCUUAUGCAUGAAAAAUAAAAUUAGAGUUUACGUCACCAUCUUUGAGCCAAACAAAUUUAGCCCUAAUAAUUUGCCAAAAAAUAGGCCUCCUAUUUUACCAACUUAUUCAUAUUGAUUUGUGCUGCCAAUAAGGCCUUCAAAUUUUGAUGGUUGUUUAUGCAUGCUAUAUACAUUCAGAACGAUGAAGACUAAUUCACCGCACAAAAAUUGGUUUACUUAGAUAAGAUAUUUAAAAUAGUGGAUAAUUUUUUUUUGAAAAAGCUUAAUGGUACGAUAGCUAGGCGAAGAAAAUCAUCGAAUCCACUACAGUCAUAGGAUUAUAUAUAAUAACCAUUGGAUUUAGGUUAUAUUUUAAAUUUAUUUAUUUUAAAAAUGUAAAAAUUCUACCGGCGUGUUAUUGUGUGCAGUCGUGCGCAUAUAUUUUGCACUAUAUAGCAAGGAUGGUUUUUUUUUUUUGUUGACAAAAACAAAGUGACAUUCAUUCAUUCAAAUUGAUAGAAUAUAUCAUAUCAUAUACAAUAACAUCAUCAAAAUCGUUAAAAACGUAAAGGAUGAAUCUGCGAACAAACUCAUAGUACCGAAAUUAAUAGCAUACAACAGAAAAAUGCAUAUAGAUAAUAUGAUAAAAUAUAAAUCACCAGAAUAAUCAUGUUUCCGGAUCUGCAACGUUGACGUCCAAAUCAUUGAUUGAAUCUGUGAUUGAUUGAAGUUGAUCUUUUGAUAUGAACCAAACAAACACCGCAACCAGACACAAAAUCAAACAAUGCCGCACAAGACGACUAGCAACACAACGCCCACUCUCAGACGACGAAAUCACGAAAAAAACACAAAAGAAAAAACUUGAUAUAUGUGAAAAUAACUUAUUUAGAUCGAAAAAAGGAAAAAAAAAAUAUGCAGACGAGUGAUUCUAGGUCAAAAAAUGAUCUAAAAUCACUCAUCCUCGAUGAGUGAAAAAGAACUUAACGGUGAAUAUUUUUGUUGAAAUAAAUUGGUAAAAGUUGUACUACUUCACUUUAGAUUUUUUAGAAGUAAUAUAUGGAUCCAUGUUCAAUGGUGUUGUCGGGAACCCUAGCUUGGGGUUUCAACUAUUAAACUUUGAUUAAUAAUUAUAAUAAUAUAUAUAUUAAAAAUUAUAUUGUAUUCAAUCUAUAUUGUACUGAAAGUACCUUUUUUUUUGACAAUUUGUAAAUUUUAAUAUGUAUCACUUAAAAAUUAGCAGAUGAAGUAUUAUCAAUAUUAAAUAAUUACUCAUAGUUAUCUCUAAAUGUAUACUUUGUUUUCAUAUUGAUUCAAUUUUUGAAGAGUCUCAUGUAUUGAAAUUGUGAUUUUGUAUUCAAAUAUAUUUUUUUAUUUGUCAACUUAGGUUAUAAAAUUAUUGUUUAAUGUAACCAAAAAAUUUGGUAUAUUUAAAGAUUAUAGUGACUGUAUCUCAUACAUUAAAUUACUUUAUUUGUCCAUUUAAAAAUAAAAGAAGAAAUAAAGCGAAUGAAAAAUUAUUUAAUAGAAAAUUACUCAAACAUUCAAUGUAAUAGAUAUAUGAACCAUUUUUUUUUUUGGCAACAUCAAUAUGAAAUUUUUGGUUGCAGUAUAAUAUACAUAAUUACCACGGGAGUUAAAAUGUCAUUAACUAAUUAGGUGGUUUACCAAAAAAUAAUUGAAAAUGCUAACACGCUGUUAUUCUGUCUUAAUCAAUAUGAAACUUUUUUUAAGGAUAACAUAUAGUUUAAUUCGGUAAGGGAAUAUAGGGCUUUAUUGCUUGUUUGAUGUGUCUAUGCAGGUUGAUACUCAUGACCGUUGAAUUUGGAUUCCAUAUUAAAAUGCCGGUUAUCCUGUUUUGGGUCAUUAUUGUCUUCGCACUCAUUGAAGGUGUCUUUAUUCGUUUGGAGGUUGUUUAGGAAUAGAUUGUCCACAAAGGACAAUUUGUUCAGACGAGGCAUGGAAUCGACAUGUCAUUUGUUUCUGUUAUGCAAUUUUUUUUUUAUAUGUGGCCUUUAGUGCGUAAUUGGCUUAUUUUUCUUUGGCUAAUCCAGCAGGUAUUUUGGAUCAAUUUUUAUAGUUUGGCAAUAUGGCAAGUGUCUCAAGAUUAAGGCGCUCUUAUAUGACUCUCAUAUAGUUAGCGUGCACUUGGGUUAUCUAAAAGGAAAGAAACAACAAUAUUUUUAAUAAAACCAAGCAAGCACUUUAAUUCAGUUUUUAGAUGAUAUUAAGCUACUCUCUUUAUGGUGGUUAAAGGCAAAAUUUGAAAACAUCGUAUUCAAUUAUCAUAACUAGUGCCUUAACCUUCUGACGUGUUCAGAUAUUGGCUAAUCCUUAUUGCAUUUUUUUCCCUUUUGUAAUUGAUUCAUUUGCCUCGCACACCUUGUGAUGGGGGAAAUGGUUUCUGGUAUUAAUAUAUUGCAUUUUGACUUUUUCAAAACAAAAAAAAAAUGAAUUACAUAUAGUUAUUCAGUCUUAAAAGUUUUUUUCUUUUUUAAAGGAAAGUUUUGUUAUCAAUUUUUAAAAGUAUAAAACUUUUCUUUUAAAUAUAAAAUUUCUUAACAAGUAUCAUCAAAGCACACGUUAACAAGAUCCAAAGAUAAUUAUCAUAAAUCGAGUUUAUGGCCUAACACAUUGAGUCAAAGAAAGACCUCUUUAACUUGCACAGAUGACAUUAUUAUCCACAUGUUCACAUGUGUUGAACUACUUGCUUUACUAAAAUUAGUAAUUAAUAAUUUCAAAUAAUAUAUUAUAAUUGUUUCAAAAUUAAUUUAUAAUAUGGUUAAUAAUACGGACCACAUACAUCAUUAAAUGAAUGAAUUAAAAAAGUCAAUUUUAUUUAUAUUUAAAAACGAAUGAAGUACUUGACAAUUUAUUAGCAUUUUCCUUACUAAUAAUAAUCGAGUCUAUCACCUAACACCUUGAGUCAAAGAAAGACCUCCAUAACUUGCACACGUGACAAUAUCAAUUUUUGAACCCCUCGAACCCACAUGUAGCAUGUGUUGAACUACUUGAUUUACUAAAAUUAGUAUUUAAUAAUUUCAAAAUUGUUUCCCUCAAAAAAAUAAUUUCAAAAUUGUUCAUUUGUUUGGUUCCAAAGAAUCAAAAUCUAUAGCAGCAUAUAUAAAUACAUACAUGAUCCUAUUCAUAGAAUCAAGAUCCAGAUAUCAAAUUGUUUAUUUGAUUAUUUGUCCAUAUCCUAUCUUGGUUUCUACACACAGGACUAGUUGAUGUAAACAAUGUGUAAUCAAAUGAAUUAUUGCCAUUAGGUUGCUUGGAAAUUAGAAGCAGCCUAAUCUUUUAAUCAUUUUCUUCAACAAAAAUACAAAAAUUAACAAAUCAUCGCGAUCCUCGUGGUUGUAUUUUAAUUUAUUUUACUACUUUAGAAUUAUUCAAUAUAGUUAUCAUUUUCAAUUACUCUUGUACGAUUAAAUUAUUGAAUAUUAUUUAGAAUAAAAAAAUGGUCACCUUCCUAGCAGCCAAUGAGACCAAAAUUGAAAAAGAUAAACUUUUCAAUUAUCACUAUUUUCCAUCUAUAAAUACCCUAUAGUUUUUCUUUAUCAAACACACACACAUUUCAUCAAAUUUAGUCCUGUAUCAAGCAAAACCAUGUGGUCUAUAAUAACGAAUCCCAUUAAAACCAUCAUUUCAAAUAUCAUACACCAUGCCAUCCAUAAAGAUUUCCAUGCAGCAGUGGCAAAAAUGUCCAUCAUAGAUGCUUUUCUCUUCCUUGUAUAAAUACUUUUCUUCAUCAUAUCAUAUAUAUUGUUUUUGUUAUUUUUCAUAAUUUAAUCCUUGAUAAUUGGGAAUAUGGAUCAAAUUGUUAUCGCAUCAAUGGUGUUUUUCUUUAUAGAACCAGGUGGAUAAGUCUAUAAAACAAGGUGGAUAAGCUGUUAAAACUGGAAAAUAGUUAUAACCUAGUUUAUAGGGUUUGAAUCAGGAAGAAGAAGAAUAGAGAGAAUUAAGUUAUAUUUAAAGUCUAUUUACUAAAGUAUUAAAAUGUUUCAUUUCAUCUUGAUAAAAAACUAUUAACCAACUAUACUAACAAAUUACAUAUCUACUAAUUUUUGUAUAGUAAUUUUUACUUUAUUAUGCUCAUGAACCCUACUUACAUUUUUUCUUAUGGCAUGUAUAGAUUGUACACUCCAUUGACAAGUUGGGAAUAUGGCACCGUUUACCUGUUUUCUUAGGGCUAAUAUACUUGGCAAUUAGGAGACAUCUUCACCAAGAGUACAAUCUCAUCAAUGUUGGAACAACACCUGUAGGGGUUAGGUCAAACCCUACUGAUUUUCCAUACAGAACUGCUGAUGGAAGAUAUAAUGAUCCUUUUAAUGAAAAUGCUGGAAGCCAAGGAUCUUUCUUUGGCAGAAACAUUCUCCCUGUUGAUCAGAAGAAAAAGGUACAAAAUUGAAAGUUACACCAUUGGCUAUUUUAGACUUUUUUUAUAUUAUUGACCUUUUCUUUUUUUGAGCAAUUAUUGACUAUUUAUAGUAAAUAAUAUUAGUAUGAGGUAUAUUCUCUUGUAAAAAAUAAUGUUAGUAUAUUAUAUUGGAAGUGGAGAUCUAACAAUUGACUAUUGUUACUAACUCCCUCCCCUCACAUAAGCUAUCAAAUAAACUUUAUAUCUGCCCCUUAAAAUAAAGUAAACUAUAUAUUAUCUCUCUCCCAAAAUAUAAAUAUAAAUUGGUCGACAAAAAUUUAUAUAUUUGAUUUAAAAUUUAUACUAAAUUCAUCAACUUAUAUUAAUUCAUUUUUGCUUACAUUUUAGAACAAGAGUAUCUAUUUUUCAAACUUACCAAUUAGAGAUAUAAAUUUAGACAUGUGUAAAAAAAUUAUAUAUAAAAUUAGAGAUGUGAGAAAAUUGAAAUUAUAGUCAUACACUUUUAAUGCAUAUAUAAGAAUUAAUUACAUAUGAAUACAAGACAAGCAGACAAUAAACUGCACUAUAAUGCUUUUUUAGGAGUUGCUACAAUUUUUUUUAGGAGGAAAGAUGCUACAAAUUUUGAAGAUCAUUUUAGUUUGUUCUAUAUAGCUUCUUUUAAUAAACAUUUUGUUCCUUAAUUAUCAAAGAAAGAAAUUAUAGAAGAAUCUUAUAAUACUAAUAAGAUGUUUUAGGUAGCUAGUUAAUGAACCUUUUUCGGUUAGCUCUUUUUUAUUCCCUUGUUGAAUAUAAAAGCACAAGAUGUGCAUGUGCAUGAAUGUAAAACAACACUAGAAACAAGAGCUGCCGAAACCGAAUAAAAGGUUAGCUACACAAAAAACACUAUGAUGAGUACAUAAUUUUCAAAGAAUAUAUAUAAAUAUUAAUAUUUUUGUUUGACCAAGAAAAAUAUUGUGUUUAUGCAGUUGUUGAAACCAGACCCAAUGGUGGUGGCAACAAAACUUCUAGAGAGGAGAACAUAUAAGGACACAGGGAAGCAAUUCAAUGUGAUUGCAGCAUCUUGGAUUCAAUUUAUGAUACAUGACUGGAUAGAUCAUAUGGAAGACACUCAGCAGGUGCAAAUGAAUAUUUUUUCUAAAAAUAAAUUGAAUAAACAUUCAUUUUUUCCUACUUGGUAUUCAUCGGUGUCACGACGAUAUUUAUUAGAUAUUUUUUAUAAUAUUACUAUGUAGCCUGGUAAAGUAAAUUCUGUUAUUUCAUCGAUGAAUAUGCCACAUCAUAAAAAACGAUUUAAAAAUUGACGGAUAUGUCACAUCGUUAAAAUGACUUAAAAAUAAGAUGAAAAAACUUGAUUUUUAUAGUGAAAAGACAAAAUUUCUUUGUUUCAAUCCCAAAUACUAAUAAAAACUAAAUUAAAUUAGAUUCUCUUUGACAAAAAUAUCAAAAUUUAUCAAUUUACUUGGUUAACCAAGAGUAGUUAAUAAAGUCAACACAUUAUUUUUAUCGCCAAUUAUGUUUAGACAUCCUUAAAUUUCAUACAGAUAUUUAACAUUUUAUUUUAGUUUAGUUUUUCUUUUCUUGUCGAAUCAUUAACAUUUUUUUUAAGUAUUAUCACAUCAUUAACUCAUCACCUUAAAUUUUCUAAUUUUUUUCCCUAUAAAGAUAUUUACACCAAAAAGUCUCCACCUAACGUUAUGCUAAUUUCAUAUACUCAUCAUUUUAGGAAUUAUACUAGUUUCUCAGUUUUUUCUAGAGAAUACUACUAGUAGUGCCUUGAAUUUUACACGUUACGUCUUUGGUUUUUUUUAAUAUAUUUAUGACGUUACAUAUCGAAAACAUCAUCAUCAUAAAAUAAUAUAAGAGACGUAACAAUGUAACACUACUAGAAAAAGCAAAAUUAGCGAGGGAAAUUAGUGACCGAAAAAAUGAAAUUCCUCACAAAUUUUUUGGUCGCAAAAUUUAAUGACGGAAUUAGAGAGGGAUUUCAUGUUUUCUCUCACUGAAUAUCCCUCACUAAUUUUUGUUUUUUAGUAGUGUAACUCUAUUUUUUUUAAUGCUUACUCACGUGUUUUCUCCGAUCUAGAAUAUAAUUAAAAAAAAAUAGCAAUCAAAGUAGAUGCAUGUAGUUCAAUUUUUUAACAAGAUAGUACGUAAAUCAACUUUGUAUAACUUUUCUUUUUAUCGGAACAAAUACAUAUUAGCCACGUAAACACAUAUCCAUGAAUUAUCUUGACCCCACAAAUAAAUUGCUCAUUUUCAUUGGUUUAUAGGUAAAUUAUCCACCAUUCUUCAAAGAUAAUUUAGAGGAAAAAAACCCGACAAUAAAGUGUCAAUUUAGUUUAGUGUUAUAUGGAUGAAAAAUCACGAUUACGAAUGACCUAAGUGUACUUAUACAAUUUAUUAAACAAUGUUUAAACUAAAAUUUUAUUGAUAAUGUUGUUGUUAAUUUUCAAGAACAUUUACAAAUAAUGUUUUAUAUUAAUUACAUACAGAUUGAACUCAUUGCACCAAGAGAAGUUGUAAACCAAUGCCCACUUAAAUCUUUCAAGUUCUUCAAGACAAAGGAAAUCCCAACUGGCUUCUAUGAGGUCCAGACCGGACAUGCAAACAUCCGUACACCUUGGUGGUAAGAAUUUUUCUAAAUCAGAGACAAAAACAUAUUUAAUCCUAAAUUAUAUAAAUUUAAGACCUUUUAAAUUGAACUUACACAUGACAUGACAUGAAUGAAACUAUAUGAUAAUAGGGAUGGAAGUGUGAUAUAUGGAAGCAAUCAAGAAGUUUUGGACAAAGUGAGGACUUUCAAAGAUGGUAAAAUCAAAAUAUCAAAGGAAGGUGAACUUCUUCAUAAUGAAGAUGGAACAGCAAUUUCAGGUGACAUUCGUAAUAGUUGGGCUGGUGUCACAACUUUGCAGACCCUUUUUGUUCUAGAACACAAUGCUGUGUGUGAUUCUCUUAAGGUAUAUGCAUAUUAUAUACAUUAAACAAAUCUAUAAAAUGAUAUAAUAAAAUAUAAAAAAACUAACAUAUAUAUUUGAUAAUUGUACUCUAUUAGAAGGAAUACCCAGACUUGGAAGAUGAAGAUCUUUAUCGCUAUGCUAGACUGGUAACUUCAGCUGUGAUAGCAAAGAUUCACACCAUAGAUUGGACUGUGGAGCUUCUUAAAACUGACACUUUGCUUGGAGGCAUGCGCGCCAAUUGGUAAGAACACAUGCAGUGAUUUUCACUGUCGUUAUUACUUCAUAUACGUCUCAUUACGGGUCAUUGCAAAACUAUGUAUUUAAUAUAAAAUGCACAAGUUUUAAUAUUAACUUGUUAGUUUUGAUUUCUUAAUUUAUGCAAGUUUGCACAUGAUAGAAAAACCUUUAGUUUUUUUUUUUUUUUAUGUUGAUUGCAUUAAUUUAUGUCAUGAUACUAAAAGUUCAAUUGUUUUAGGUAUGGAUUACUGGGAAAGAAAUUCAAGGACACAUUUGGGCAUUCCGGAAACUCCAUAUUGAGUGGAUUUGUGGGCAUGAAGAGAGCAGAAAAUCAUGGUGUUCCAUACUCUUUAACUGAGGAAUUUGCUAGUGUCUAUAGAAUGCAUCCACUCCUGCCUGAUUUCCUGCACUUGAGAGACACAUCUGCCUCUCCUGGGCCUAACAAAUCUCCGCCAUUAAUCAAAGAGUAUGACAAUAUAUUAUGAUUUUUACAUCAUCAUAACUAUUACGCCCUCUGGUCUUAAAAUAUAAGAGAAGAUUCUCUUUUCAAGUUCAUUGAAUAAAUGAUGUAUUUAGUUCACAUUAUAAUCUAUAAAAAAAGUCUCUCUUUUCUAUGGUAUUAUAUAGGAUUCCUAUGAACGAUUUGAUCGGACUACAAGGAGAGAAGACCUUGAUAGAGAUAGGAGUUCAAAAACAAUUGGUAUCAAUGGGUCACCAAGCUUGUGGGGCCCUAGAACUUUGGAACUAUCCAUCAUGGCUCAGAAACCUAGUACCACAUAACAUGGAUGGCACAGAAAGAUCUGAUCAUGUGGACUUAGCUGCUCUUGAAAGUAUGAUAUAUGAACCUCACCUUUAUUUUUAAGAAUUUCAUUUUUUUUUUUUUUUUGGGUUACAUAGGCCAUUUCUUAUCUUAUAUUGAAUUGACUUAUAAUGUGAUCAUAUAAAUGGUGCAGUUUACAGGGAUAGAGAGAGAGGUGUAGCAAGAUAUAACCAAUUCAGGAGAGGACUAUUCAUGAUACCUAUUUCUAAAUGGGAAGAUUUAACAGAUGAUAAGGAAGUUAUAAAAGUAUUGGAAGAGAUAUAUGGUGAUGAUGUUGAGGAGCUUGAUGUGCUUGUAGGUCUCAUGGCAGAGAAGAAGAUAAAGGGUUUUGCAAUUAGUGAGACAGCUUUUUUAAUCUUCCUUCUCAUGGCAUCUAGGUAAAAUCGAACUAAAUUUUUUAUUUUAUUUUAUUGAUGUCUAUACCAUUUACGAGGGGUAACCUUGGUGCAACUGGUAAAGUUGUUGUCAUCUGACUGGAAGGUCGCGGAUUGAAGUCAUGUAAACAACCUCUUGUGUAAAAAACAGGGUAAGGCUGCGUACAAUACACCGAAUGGUGGGACCCCAUCCUGGAUCUUGUGUAUGCGGGAGUUUUUGUGCACCGUGUUGCCCUUUUUUUAUAUAUCUAUACCUCUUUUAUAUCUAAAUGUUUAGGGUUUAAGCUUUUAUAAAAUUGAAUUUGAUUGAACUUUAAUGCACUUUGCAGGAGGCUAGAGGGUGAUAGAUUUUUCACAAGCAACUACAAUGAGGAGACAUACACUGAAAAGGGUUUGAAAUGGGUGAACACAACUGAAACCUUAAAGGAUGUGAUUGAUCGUCACUACCCAAAAAUGACAAACAAAUGGUUGAAUGCUUCAAGUGCUUUCUCUGUUUGGGAUGCACCACCAAACAAACACAACCCUAUUCCAAUUUACUUGCGUGUUCCUAGUUAAUCAAUUUAAGUUAGCAUUAUAUCUAUGUUGUAUUUGUGUUUAUACAUACACAUUUAUGUUUAUGUGUAUGUAUUGGUGUUUAUUUAUUUGUUGAUUUGUAUCUUUCAAAAUAAUCAUCUGUCCGUUCAAGAAUAAAAUCAUGUUUUGUAUUUCAGUUGAUGGGUGUUCCACUAGUUUUUUAUUUGUAUUAUGAUGUUUCUAAGUUAAUAUAAUGAUGCUUAAACUGUAAACUUAACGUUGCACUACAACAUAAUUAAGAUUUGGUAACAUUUGAUAAUUGUAACUAAAUCAAGAAAAAUAUUACUGAUAAAAUUUAAUAACAUUUGAGCAAUUGCUAGGUAAAACCUUUGUUAUUAAAUAUCUUUAGUUACAUUUUAUAGUAUUAUCUGUAACAAUUAAAAUAUGUCGCAAAAUGUUACAUUAUUGUAACAUCUUUUGUAUCAUAUAAAAAAAUGUUACAUUCAUAAUUUUUUAAAAGUUGUAAAAAAAUGUGGCAAAAUUGUAUAGACAAAAAAAUUGUGAAUCUAUAAAAAAAAUUAUUCCAUUGAAAUAAAUUAGAAAAAAAGUGGAUGUUGUAGUCAAUCAACCACAAUUAAUAUAGAAAUCACGGAACAGGUAUUUUUACACAACCUAGACAAAUCAUAGUACUAUAUUUCGAUCAACAAGUUUGGAUAACAAGCCAUGAAAUAAGAUGUCCUAACUAAACCUAUUUAUCACUUUUUCCACAAAAUAAAAAAUAAAAAACUAGCCAUGAGGGAAUCUAAGCAAGCUAAUGAUGCAACCCAAUUCUUCUUGGUUGUACUUUCAAUUGUUUGAUAAGUUUGCAACACCAUCUUAAUUAAUAGUUUCACUUGGAGCAACAAAUAUCUUCUAGCCGCAAGUAUUUAGAAGGAAUGUGAGAACACAAACAAAAUAAAAGUAAAUUUGAGGUAUAAGUGAUUGAACCAAAUCUGAUAAUCACAAAAAAAAAUUGAGAUAUAAAGAUGGAGCAGAAUUUACCUUUUCUAAAAACAAGCAACAAAAGUCUAUUGAUUUAAGUGUUACUACUUUCUAAACAGAGUAAGGAUCUGAUAAUGCAUAAACCAAUGUUUUAAUGAUAUAUAAUAUCCAACAUUUUUAAACCCAUGCAUUGUUUUUCUUUUGGUUACAAAAACCCAUGCAUUGUUGAACAAAACUACCUCAAUUAAAAUAAGUUUUGAUAAUAUAACUAAGGCUUAAAUAUGUGUAUAGUCCUUGCAAAUAGACCGUGGUUGAAUUUUAGUCCUUGUACUUACUAAUCCUCCUAAUUUACCACUGCAAAUAUUAAUCACUUAAAAUUUGGUCCGAAUUAUGAUUUUUUGAUGAGGUGGAGAGUCAUUAGCGACGUUGCGCUAUGUAUCAAGUGGUGACUGGGUAUGAGCGAUGCCACGUCAGUAGAACAGACUUGAAAGAUCAUUUUUGCCCUUAAUGAGAAAGCUUAUGCUGAAAAGAUGGGUUUGCCCCUGUCUUCAUCUUCUUCUCAUUCCUAUUCUUCUUACUGGAUGUGCAACUCUCCUUCCUUCUUCUCUCCCAUGAACCUUAACAAUCAGAAUAAAACAAAAUUAAUUCUCAAAAUUAGAAAAAGAAAAACAGUUAAAGUCUUAAGUUCCCAUCAUUAUUUUCUACAUAAAUUGUGUUUCUUGUCACUAGUUGCUUCAAUCUAGCAUGUAAUAAUAGUAGGAUUUCUCUCUCUUUUUUUCCUUAAUAUCUCUUGUGAACCGUCACCAAAACUCUAAUUUCUCCUUCUUCGUCCAUAAAAGAGGGAUGAUUUUAAGUUAAAAAUUUACUCAAAAUCACCCCUCUAACUCGUUUUUCUCUUUCCCUCUUAUUGAAAUAAGUGAUUUUUGCAUUUAUUUUGUUUUUUAUUUUGUGAUUUUGUCGUCUAAGUACAACGUUGGUUUGUCUGUCGUCUUUGUGCGGCGUUGUUUGUCUUUCUUGUGUCGUUCAGGUAAUUGUUUGGUUCAAAUUGUCAUAUCAGCUUCGAUCCAAUGCGGAUCCAAUCAAUAAUUUUGGCGUCGUCCACGUUGCAUAUCCGAAGACAUGAAUAUUCUGAAGAUUUGAAUAUAGUACUAUGUGUGGGCUUUUGUGUUUUGUUGUUUUAUGCUAUUAACAUAUUUGCAGCGAACUUGUAUUGUAUCAAUGUACUCUAUCAAUUUGGAUAAAUGAAUAUCAUUUAUUUUUGUAAAAAAAUAUAUAUAUAUUAUAGUAGAGUUUCAUUAUCCAAUGAUUAAUUUUUUUUUUUAAGUUCACCCAUGCUGAAAGAGUUGUCACACUGUCUCACACUGGACCGAGCCUCAACAAAUAUUUUUAUCAAUGUUUAUAACUUUGUCAAAUUCCCAUUAAAGCAAGAAAAUUGCUCUUCACGUUUUUUAUUUUUUAUUUUGUUUAUUCUCUUAAUUCAACGUGAAUUAACUCACGUUCGAUAUUUUUUAUGUUGGCAUUUUUAUAAUUGGUUCAAUCAUUUUUUAAAUCAAUUCAACCGAUCUUAAAAAUGUCUGUGUAUACUAAUUCAUGCUGAAAAACGUCAAACAUGAACUAAGUGACAUUGAAUUAAGGGAAUGACUAAAAUCAAAAGGGAAAAGAGCGAUUCUCUUAAAGCAAGGUAAGGGUGUGAGCAGAACGUGGGCAUGGGAAGGAACAGAUCCAUCACAUUCAGCAUUCUGCAAUUUAAUUCCAACCACAAUAAUUACAAGAGAUUUACUUUUCCCACCUUAUGACCUUCUCCUGCACACUGUAAAAUUUUCAAAAAUGCCCUUGUGGAGUUCGGAUUUUAAAAUCCGAAUUCAUUUUUACUAUUUCGGAUUUUAUAAUUCGGAAAAUUCUUAUGUAUAAUCAGUCAUCAGACUCUCACAUUUCGGCAGUUUUGACUUUUGCUUUUAAAAACAACAAAAAAACUAAGUAAAAAAUGCUUAAAACUUAUCAAAUAAAAUCAUAAAAAACAAAAAUACCACAAAAAAUUCUAAAAAUCAAAUAAAACUAAUGCAAAAAAUUUCGGAUUUUUCUAAGAAUAUGAAAAAUUAAAAAAAAAAAUUUAAAAAGGGGUCUAAACGUUGGAAUUUUGGAUUUUGAGGGGCGGAGUCCCGUAAGAAGUUUCAAGGCAAUCCGAUCAAAUAACCCGAAAAUCCGAUUUUUGAAUAAAAACAGGUAACAAUGUCCCAAAACAGAAGGAUGAGAGUUAGGAAGAUUAAUAUUAUCCCUAAAAUGACUAUCCAUGUUACAAACAUGUUUAGAAUUUGUGCCGAUACAGUUCGGAUUAUAUAAUCUGAAUUGUUUUCACUUGAAAAAUGGGGUUUAGGGGUGUUCAGAUUAUAUAAUCCGGAAAAUUUAUGUAACGCACCCUAGUUUUUGAAGUUUUCGGAUUACAAAAUCCGGAAAAAUCCGUAACUCAUUUUUUCACCCUUUGUCAAAAGAAAAACACCAUUCCGGAUUAUAAAAUCCGAAAACUCAAAGACAUUAUUGAAAAAAAAAUAGGACGCACGAGGAAACACACAGGAUGGAAAAAAAUAAGGAAAAUUCUACGGUGAAGUCAUAAGAAUGACUUUUUUUGGUGAAGUUAACACUAUAACAUCAAAAAUGUAAUGAGUAACACCCCACUGUUUGUAGAAUGACAUCAAAAGUUCAGCCCUCAUAGUAUCAUGAAUUCAUCAAGUUAACAAGACUACACUUAAUAUAAUUUUAUCAUACCUUGUUCUAAGCGUAACACCCUACAAAGUGUAACACUUAAGACUAUCACAUAAUAUCAUCAACUCUAUUUGCAUGUUAAAGAUUCCAACGAUAAAAUAGUACAUGUAAGUCCAAGAUGUUACAAGCAUUAUUAGAUGAAUAUACUAUUGAUCAUUAAUCAGUAAUCAACAAUUUAAAAAUGAAUCAAACAUUAAAAUCAAAAUUAACUUUUUUCAAAAAAGUCAGUUUCCUGACUGCACCGUAGAAGCUCCAAGUAAGAAAAUCUCUAAUUACAAUAGGUUAAUAUUGGGAACAAAAUAAUAAAAGAGGUAAUGGAUACUGUUUUUGGCAUGGAAUCUGAUAAUGCCAAAUUCGUGGCAUACCGUUUUGUUCAAAUAUGAUAUGAUACAUAAAUACAAUAAUGUCACCAUCUUAGAUGUCUUUGAUAUUUUAAUCAAUACUCCAUAAGUAAUUGAAAUAUUGAAUAAACACAAAAAAAAAAAAAAAAAAAAAAAAAAAAAAAAAAACUCAUUUGUCAAGAAAAUAAUCAUGAAUCCAUCAUUGUCAGAACAACAUUGAAUCAAUACAAAAAAACGUGUCGAAAUGUAACAAAGAAAGUGCAGGAUUUGAGAAAUAAAUCAUCCAAUGAAUCUUUUUCUUUCAAAAAGAAAAUCAUCAAAUGAAUCUUUUGAAAGAUAUACUGUCAAAGACUCAAAAUGAAUUAUAAAAGUUAGAUAUGAGAACAAAAAUAUUCUCAAUGAAAUGUUUAUUACAUCAACAUUUUUCCCCCUAGAUUUAACCGAGUAGAUAAAAAGAUAUUUUCAAAAGAUGCCGGAAUUAAAACCAAAAUGUGCUACAAUGGAAGGGACAAAACAUAUUUAAACUUUUUCUUUUACAUUUGAAUGUAAUGGUCGAGCAUCUAUAACUGAGAUAUUUUUUUUUGGUACCUAAGUGGGUCUCACGUAUAUAUAACUUAUUUAUAAUUUUUUUAAUAAUAAUACUAAUAAGCACUCAAUUCCUUCAACUCAUCAUCUCAUACAAAUUUCUUAAGUAGGAUCCAUUAAUCAAUUAUCAUUAAUUUUAUAUCAUUACAUUUAAAAAAUUAAAUAUUAAAAAAAAUGUGGGUUCCACUUGAGAUUAGACGUCUUAAGUGAGACUUUGAAUCUUAUAAAACUUUGACAACUUUUUUUUCUCCAAUAGAGUCCCUAACAAGUACCAACUCUUAAAAAGUUUAAAACUUUUCCAUUAGAGAUUAUUUUAGAUAGAACUAGGAAAGGUGAAUAAAAAAUUGGUUUUUAGAUAUGCAUCAAAUAGUGUGGCAAAAAAAAAAAUCUGAAUCAAAUGGUCAUAUGUAUUUGUUUUAUGGGUCUUGUUAACCAGUGUCCUCGGGAUAAUGGUUAAGGAAACUAAAAGUAGUAGUUUUGUAUUGGAAAUUACAACUUUUUGACUUUUAGAAAGUUGAAUUUAACACUUUUUACCAUUUUCCAACAAAUUAUUUCUAUUUAUGUUCUCUUAACCAAUGCCUCAAGAACACUCUUUAGCAUUUCCCUUGUUUUAUAGUAUAAUCAAGUGUGCUUGAUCAAUCUUGCGGUUUUAAAGGUAAUGCAAAGUUAGAGAUCUAUCAAAGUCUUCUCAAUCUAGACUGAGCCAUAAAAAUGGAUACAUGAUUUAUUCUCGUGAGCAGAAGUCAUUUAGUAUAGAUAAUACAUUGUAUAGGCAUGACAACAAAACUCAUAUUCGCAGGUACGCACCUGAAUCAAACUCAAUUUGACGGAUUUUCUUCGUUUUGACUGGGUUCGGGAAUGAGUUUGGGUUUUCACCGCUAUCGAAACAGGGGUACGGGGUGGGUAAUGGGAUAUAUGUACUCAUCUCAAACCCAUACUCAAACUCGUUCCAAAUGUAGAAAAUCAAUUUAUUACCCCUUUUAUAUAAAUAAAAAUCCAAACCCUAAGUCAUUAUACUCACACAGUCAGAGUAUCUGACUUUCAGAUGACACUCACUUAUCAUAGUUCCCUCUUUUCUACUUUCAUAUCUCACAAUCUUGACCUCUCUCUUGUCCAUGACCAUAGCCAUCAAUCACCAUCAUCUUUUUGUUGGAUAAUGCAUUACACUAUUGCGCUUGAGGCUGAAAGAUACUUUUAUUUUUAUUAAAAAAAAUUAUCCGUUGCGGGGAUGGGAUGGGCGAUGAUACCCCAACCUGUCGGGGACGAGGAUGGGAUUCGAUUUCUCGUCCCCGCUGGAUAUGGGUAGGGUAACGGGUAAGUAUAUAGGACUAAGGUAUGAGAAAGAGAAGGUAAAACUCGUCUCCAUCCUACCCUAUUGUCAUGCCUAACAUUGUCACAUGCAAAAAUGGGAAUUUGAAUCUCACAUUCAUACUUUUUUAACUUUUUAUCUUUCAUUAAUACUUUUUUGAAGGAAAUCUUUCAUUAAUACUCUUCAAUUGAAUUAUUUAUUUUUAUUGUAAUUUUAUCUUUUAUAUAAUAUUUACAUAUUUAUUAAAAAAAAAUUGUUUUUUUUUAAGAAAGGACUUAAAAUUUUUGUUAAAACUCGUUAUAAUUGGAACUAUUUCAUUACAAUGUAAACCUUUUCUUUUACUAUAGAUCAAAUCUUUUGAUUGUGGUAUAUUAAAAGAAAGGCUUAAAUGUUAUUUUGGUCUCUUAACUAUUUAAUUGGUAUUGCUUUGGUCCCUUAACUAAAAAAAAGAUUGUUUGAGGAUUUUAAGUUUUUUUUUAGUCUCGUUUUGGUCCCUUCUGUUAGGUUUCCAUUAGGGUUUUAAAAAAGAAGUUAACUAUUUAAUUGGUAUCGCUUUAUUUUUGUUUUCCUCAAUCAAUUGGUCCUAUGUCAUUAAUUCUAAUCUACUAAAAAAGAAGACCGUUGGAUAAAAGAGAUUCAUAAGAUGUAACGAUGUAUCACCAACACAUAAUUAAUUUUAAUUUCAUUAUCUUCUUCCUUCAUCUUCAUCUAACCUUCUUCAUCAACAUUCAUCAUCUUCAACAAAAUUAUAAUCUUCACCAUCAUCUUUCCAUUACAACCUCCUUUAACACAUCACAUCCAAUCAUUAUUAACCGGUUUCAUCUUUGCCAUUUUUAUUUUUAUUUUUGUAAUUUAAUCAUAUUUUAGCCUUUCAUCUUCUUUGCAUAACCUCUCACAAUAUUCUUCAGUUUCGUUGCUUUCACUCGAUGGAAAAGCACAAAAUUAUGUAUUAAUCAUCCUCCCCAUGAUAAUUAGCAAAUAAUCCUUUUCUUUUAUUUCCCUAAAAAACAAAUCCUUUUCUUUUAUUCUUAUCACUUUGUCAUCGCCAACUUCUCAAACCAAAAAAAGAAUCAAAUCUUCAAAGAUAAUAAAUCUGAAAAAACAAAACCUGCAACAAACAUGGAACCUAAUGAAUGAAAAACCUGCACAGAUUCGAACGUCAAGCUGAUAAAAAAAAAUAAAAAAGGGUUAGGUAAAGUUGGCCCGGCUUUUUUUCCAGCUUUUCUACAUUUUUAAGGAGAAGUUAGGCCAAACACAAUAUCAAUAAAGUAUCUUCGAAAAAAAAUACUUUUUUAAAAUGCAUAAAAUUGAAUUGAAUGAACUUUAAGCAAAAGUUGUUGAAUGCUACUUCAAAAAACUACUAAGUAAUUCAUUUUUUUUAUAGUUGUGAUUAUGAAAGAUUUUCUUAUUCAAUCAAUAAUGACUUCGACAAUAACAUCACUAAUACAGAGACACAAAUAUUACAAACACCUUAAAUUCAUUCAUUUUAAUUUUAGUAACACGAACUUUAUAUCAUUUCAAUGUAACCUAUCAAUUUCAUUGAAUUAGUUCUUUAUAUCAUUUGCUUCCACAAUUUAUUUAUUUUAUAAAAAAAAUAACUAGUGAGAUGCAUGUGAAUUUCGAUUUGCUAUGAAUUUCGAUUCUAUGAAAUACAAUCAACCAAACAACUGAACACUCUUGGAAUUAUUAACCUUUUGCAGAUCAAGCCAGGAAUACAACAGAAAUUCAACCGUUUCCAAAAAGAGAAAUUCAACUCAUGGCCAUGUGAACUCGUGGCUUCAAUGAAUUCAACUCAUGGCCACGUGAACUCGUGGCUUCAAUUUUUUAUUUUUAAAAAGUUGAGUUUAUAAAAGUUUUAGUGAAUCGAGCAUUAAAGACUUAUAAUUAUAGCAGAUCUUAAGACGAUAAUAUAAGAUCAGAUAUAAAUUUCUAUAUGUAUUGAUUACUCUUUUUUCAACCGAGGCUAGAACAACCGCACAAGUAAGAGAGACGUCACACUCUUACUCAAAACCUUAAGGCAUUAGAUUUAUGGCUCCUCUUACUUGUAAGGUGUUCAACCUUUACUCUUUUAUCCGAUGUGGGACAUAUAACUCACACUUAUACGCAACAACAGAUGACACCAAUUUAGAUGAAAAAAAUAUAUAAAGAAAACGAUGAAAAACUGUGAUUUCGGAACAAAAAAUCAGCCAAAAUCACUAAUCUUAAGUAGGUAAAGAAGAAGGUAGAACUUUUUUUUUUUUUUUUUUUUUGGUACAAAGAAAGUAGAACUUCUAUCAAUAAACAAACUAGAGUCGGCUUAAAGUUCGAACACUAAAAUGAUUUCUUUCUUAAUUGAAAUCAAAUUAAUUACUUAUUAAUCUUAUGUUAAAAAUGUCUUUUAAGUCGUAUUAUAAACCAUACAUAAACAUAUACUUUCUCGUGUCACCAUUAUAAACAAUUUUUUAUUUAUUUAUUGAAUGAUUAACGUAAAAACAAUAAUUUAUUGAAUAAUAUAUAUAUAUAUAUAUAUAUAUAUAUAUAUAUAUAAUUUACUAUACAUUUUGAAUAUAUUAGUUAUUUAAUGAAUUAAAAAAAUAAAAUAUUUGCUUAUAAUAACUUUCGAGGGAGUGUAUUAUCUUAUAGAAAGCAACAGUGUUCGGAUAUUAUUCAAUAUGAGUAUUCUUCUUCGUUUUUCGUGUAAUGUUAUACCUUCUUUUUUCCUGAAUUAAAUAAAUAACUUAAGGAAGAAAAAAAAACUCAAAAUUAAAGUUAAUUGGGGUGGCAUCGAACACAUAUGUCAAGUGUGAGUUAAAAGUUUUUCAUUAAGUGAAAGGGCUAAUACUAAACAAGAAAUAAUGAGUAAAAUAGAUAACUCAUACAUCUAACUAAUAUCUUUUUCAUUUUAAAAUAGAUAACACUCUCUUUUGAACAUUCACUUUAGUAACAUCUUUUCAAUUUUGACCUUGUCUUGGAAUCAUUUUCAAGUAGUACACAUUCCGACAAUAAUGAUAGAAACAUUUUAUAAAGAAACAUGAAUUUUGAACUCUGCCCAUGUGCACGAAAUAAAUAAGUGGGAAAUCUUUGAAAAGUGUUAAACAUGAGAAUGUGAAACAAAUUCAAUAAAGCUAAUGAGUGUAAAAUUGGAAUAAUGUCAUUUAAUAGGAUGACUUUAGUAUAUCUUUGCUUACAUUUGAGACCACAAAUUUUUUAUUUUGUUUCUUACAUUUGAGAUUAGACAGGGUAUAUACCAAUAUCCCAUUUUCAACCAUCUCUUUAAUAUUCACUAUAUCACUGUAUGAAAUUAAUGUAGAUCUCAUUGUUAUGUCUAAAUCCCAUUGAUAUUUGUAUUUAAGGAAUGUUGUCACGUCAGUUAGUGAGAUAUUGCAAGUCUUGUGUACUCAUUAAUGAGAUAUAACAAAAUCCCAUUUUCAACUAUCUCUUUAAUAUUCACUCUAUCAUUAUAUGAAAUCAACGUAGAUCUCAUUGUUUUGUCAAAGAAAUAAAUGUAGAUUUCACUGUUUUAUGUGAGAUCCAUUUCUAAAAUUUGCAACCUACAUUAAUUGUAUUUAACGAAAGAGUGAAUAUUUGAAAAACUGUUGCUAGCAUUACUUUAAAUGAUAUGACAACACAUCGUUAAUGCACAUGUAUAGAACUUAUACCGACGGGUUAUAUAAAUUAAACUCUUUAAAGAUAUGUCCACGUUUUCAAUUACUCUUGUAUGAUUUUUUUUUUAUCAUAAAUUCAAAAACAAAAAAAUUAAAGAGAUAAACUUCUUGGUCCUCUCCCUCUCAUGCUCUCUAUAAAUACCCUAAGUCUCUUCUCUAAAUAACAUGCACAAACACAUUUCAUCAAAUCAAGUCUUGUAUCAAGCAAAAUCAUGUGGUCUUUAGUAACAGAUCCCAUUAGAAAUCUUGUUACAAUAGUUAUACAACAUUCCUUCCAUAAAGAUUUCCAUGAAGUAGUGAAGAAAAUGACCAUCAUAGAUGCUUUUCUUUUCUUUAUACGAAUACCCUCCUCCAUCAACUCAACUAUAUUAUCCUUCCUUCCUUAAUAAUAAACAUACAUAGGGUCUAUUUACACUGACUUUGUUUGAGUUUAUCUACAAGUAUAAGCUUUUUUACACUUAGGGAAGAACUUUUUUUUUUGAAGAACUUAUGAGAACAAUUUAUAAUAGUGUUCAUCUUAUUUUCGUAAUUUUUCCAAAAUAGCUUAUGAAAAACUUAUAACUUGUAUAAAAACAAUAUAACUUUGUUUUAUCACUUGCAAAAGAAAUAGUUUGUAGAUAAACAUUUAUCUUGAUAAGCGCUUGUACUAUAAGUCGUAAAUAAGCUCUUUAUCCAAAUAGGCAUACCAUUAUUGUAGCAAAUUUGAGUUCUCUAUGGUCACAUAUAUAAUCACAAAUCUUGUAGGUACUCGGUGAAGAUUAGAUAAUUCGUAUUUUGAAGACAAAUUUAGUGAUAAUGUCAUCAAGAUAUGAAUAUGUUUAUCUUUAUUCUGCGGUCAAGACUCAAGAUUAUGUUUUUUUAAACCAUGUUACAUGUAAUCACUUCAUCUGUAACAAAAUAUAAGUAAAAAAAUAAAAUGCUUUUGAUUCAAAUUUUAAACAAAAAAACAUUUAAUUUAUCGGCUUCUUUUUGCUUAUAUUUUACUACGGAUAAAAUAAUUUUACUUUAUUAUAUAUAUGUUCAUGACCUCUAACUACAUGACUUUUUUUUUUAGAUUAUUCACUCCAUUGACAAGUUAGGAUUAUGGCACCGUUUGCCUGUUAUCUUGGGUCUAUUGUAUUUGGCCACUAGACGCCAUCUUCACCAACAGUACAACCUCUUCAACGUUGGACAAACAGCUGUGGGAGUUAGGGCUAACCCUAAUGAUUAUCCAUAUAGAACAGCUGAUGGAAAAUAUAAUGACCCUUUCAAUGAAAGUGCUGGAAGUCAAGGGUCUUUCAUUGGCAGAAAUAUUCUUCCUGUUGAUCAGAAGGACAAGGUUCAAACUAAAAACUAAUUACAUGAUUAAUAGUAUAUACAAUAUGUUUUUAUGCUUUAGUUAAGAGAAUAUUUUGACAAUAUUAAAAAAAGUUAUGAACUAAAAAAAAAAAUUGUGCGCGCGCACGUCUGUGUAACUUUUUCCUUAAAAAAAAAAAAAAAAAAAAAAAAAAAAAAAAAAAAACCUAAAACUUUUUAAGACUAUAGAAUUGGAUAUUGUUUUUGUGCAGUUGUUGAAACCAGACCCAAUGGUGGUGGCCACAAAACUUUUGGAGAGAAAAACGUUCAAGGACAAUGGGAAACAAUUCAAUGUGUUAGCAGCAGCUUGGAUUCAAUUUAUGAUACAUGAUUGGAUAGAUCAUUUGGAGGACACUAAUCAGGUUUCAUCAACUUCAAAUUAUAUAUAAUUUUGUCCAAUAAUUUUCUUAAUAUGAUGGUGGAAGCAUGCUAGAUUCUCAAGUAGACCAACAUUUUAAUGUUCGUGUUGUGAUUGAUUAAUGUUAGUAUUAUAUAUAUAUAUAUAUAGAUUGAACUCACUGCACCACGUGAAGUUGCAAGCCAAUGUCCACUAAAAUCAUUCAAGUUCUUGAAGACAAAGGAAAUUCCAACGGGUUUUUAUGAGAUCAAGACUGGACAUGCAAACAUUCGUACACCUUGGUGGUAAGAAUAUUUUCCAUAUACCUAAGCAUUAAUUGAUCGUAUAUAUACAUAUAUGAUUAAAUAAUGGAAAAAUGUUAUUAAUUAAAAUAGUGUUAAUGAUCAUUUUACAACGAUCUCAAUGAAAUUUGGACUUUUUAUCUUGAGUUUAUAAAUUCAAACUCUUUACUAUUGAUUUCAAACCAUCGCAAUCAUUUAUAUAUAAACUGAUGUAGACAAGCUAGCAGCACGAAUCGAGGAAGAAGUGGCGCGCAAGAAAGGUUGAAUCGGAACGGUGCUGAUUUUGCAUCCGAUGUCGGUUUGACCCGAAUUAUACCUUUUCGGAAAGCCCCUGACGUCACGAAAAGGUAUCAGAGCCUGGUUUCCCUUGGUAUCAGAGCCUGGAUUCCUCUGUUCUCUCGUGAACGUGAUCCAUCCAUGAGGUUCGGAGCUUUCCGAAAAGGUAUAAUUCGGGUCAAACCGACACCAGAUACAAAAUAUGCACCGUUCCAACUUGCGCGCCACUUCUUCCUCGAUUCGUGAUGCUAGCUUGUCUGCAUCAUAAAUAUAUGGAAUAUAGUUUCUGAAAAUUAGGUGUGUUACAUAUAAACAUUGUUGUUUUUAUAUAUCUAGGUCUAUCUAAUUUUGUCUAGUAAUUAUACUUAUAGUCUCAAUUUAAGACCUUCUAAUUGAACUUACACAUGACAUGCAUGAAACUAUAUGAUAAUAGGGAUGGAAGUGUGAUAUAUGGAAGCAAUCAAGAAGUUUUGAACAAAGUGAGAACUUUCAAAGAUGGGAAGUUAAAAAUAUUAGACGAUGGUACCCUUAAGCAAAAUGAAAAUGGAGUAGCAAUUUCAGGUGACGUUCGCAAUAGUUGGGCUGGUGUCUCAACUUUGCAGGCUCUCUUUAUUCAAGAACACAAUGCUUUUUGUGAUGCUCUCAAGGUAUACUUGUAACUAUAUGCAUCAAAUUUAUUUAUUUAAAUAAUUGCUCUGGACAAAAAAUAUUUUUUUUGUCAAAAAAGUGACAUAUGAUAUAACUACUAAAAAACAAAAAUUAGUGAAGGAAAACAUGAAAUCCUCUAUAAUUCCAUCACAAAAUUUUGUGACCAAGAAAUUUGUGACGAAUUUUAUUUUUUCCGUCACUCAUUUCCCUUCCUAAUUUUGCUUUUCCUAGUUUUACAUAAAAGAUAACUACUUUUUUUUAUACCGUACUUUAUUAGAAUGAAUACCCGGACUUGGAAGAUGAAGAUCUUUACCGUCAUGCUAGAUUGGUGACUUCAGCAGUUAUUGCAAAGAUUCACACCAUAGAUUGGACUGUGGAGCUCCUUAAAACCGACACUUUGCUUGCUGGCAUGCGUGCUAAUUGGUAAGAUUAAGUAUAGAGUGUUUUCCCUCUAGUUAAUUUUUCGAGUUUAAUUAGUACAGUCUAUCGGUAUAUUAUAUACUUAUUUUAUACAUACAUUUAAUGAUAUGUUAUCAUGUCAAUUAAUGAAUGUGGCAACACAUAAUUGACGUGACAAUACAUAAUUAAAUGUAUGUGUAAAAUAAUUGUACACUGACAAUGUAUACUAAUUAAAUUUUAUUUUUUACACGUUUUAGUGAAAUUUUAAUAGCUCAACCUAAAUAAUAGUAAUUUUGAUGUUCAUUGCAUUAACUUUUGUCAUGUUACAAAAUUUGAUUUUAUUUAGGUAUGGAUUAUUGGGAAAGAAAUUCAAGGACACGUUUGGGCAUGUUGGUGACUCUAUCUUAGGUGGAUUGGUGGGCAUGAAAAAACCAGAUAAUCAUGGUGUUCCAUACUCUCUAACUGAAGAAUUUGUGACUGUCUAUAGGAUGCAUGCACUCCUACCUGAUUCUUUGCAUUUGAGAGACAUAUCUGCCACCCCAGGACAAAACAAAUCUCCACCACUGAUCAAAGAGUAUGCCAAAAUAUUUUUACACCAAUAUUAUAACUUAUUACUAUAUAGCAUCACAAACUUUAACAACUCAUUUAAUAGUCAAUAAAUGAAAUUUAUACCAUUUUUAAAUGAGUCUUAUUUAAUAGAAAAUGAGAUCCAUAUAAUUGGUGGAAUACAAAAAUUUACCCAAUCAUAUACUUCAUUCGUCUCAAAAUAAUAGUCGUUUAAGGUUUAUACACAGUAAUUAAGAAAAAGAUUAAUUGUAUUGAUUUCAAUGGUAAAAUUAGUAUCAUUUACUAAUAUACUCUUAUUAAUUGUAGUUAGUGAAGUAGCUGUGUUCGAUAAAAUUCAAUAAAUAAGGUAUAAUAAUGAGAAAAAAAUAAUAAAUGUUGCAUUGUUAUUAUAAAGUGACAAUCAUCUUGCGACAAAAAAAAAAUGUUAAAUAAACAGUUAUAUUGAGACUGAGGGAGUAGUGUUUUGAAAAAGAGUAACAAAGAUUGUGUUUUUUAGCACUCCAUAAUCUAAAAAAGUUCUGAAUUUUUUUAUCUCUUUUGGUAUUAUACAGGAUUCCUAUGAAUGAUCUGAUUGGCCUGCCAGGAGAAAAAACCUUGUCAUCGAUAGGAUUUUCAAGCACAUUAGUAUCAAUGGGUCACCAAACUUCUGGUGCCCUAACACUUGGAAACUAUCCAUCAUGGCUCAGAGACCUAGUACCACAGAACAUAGAUGGCACAGAAAGAUCUGAUCAUGUGGACAU
rnacentral:lncRNA from 1 species